GGAGCUGAGACCUGUGAGGCUGUUAGGAACAACACAAAGGGCGUUCCUCAUCCUGAGGACCAGGAGGAGAGGCGCGCAGGACCUACCACUUGUCAGCAGAAAUGACAGCGUGGACACUGUGGACGCCUUGCAGAGGGAAUUUACCUCUGCAGGCCUUGGCAAAUUACAGUCCAGCAUUUUGAGUGAAUCUCUGUUGAUAACACCUGAGCCUGACCUGGUGAACCUUGGGCAAUGACAGAGCAGUUGCUCUCACUGCGGGGGACAGAGAAUCAUCUGCCUGUAUUGCUGAACAACACGGGUCCACCUCCUGGCCGCCAGG
rnacentral:lncRNA from 1 species